UCCGAAAGCAGAAGAGCUCUAAGCUCUCUUGUGAUGAAACAAAAGCUGGCAGAGCACGUGUUGUUAUGUGGCAGGCAGGGAGGCCACUUGAGACACAUUCAGGAGGUCUUCAUGUGAGCAGCAGUGAAGGACACUUGAGAGGCUGAAAGCUGCUGGUGCUGAGCAGCGAAGGCACAGUGCAGCUGCUUCAGUACCAGAGAGCCACAAAUUAAUGUGUGAUGUGAGUUUCAAGGCAGAGGAGAUGAGGAAAUCAAUGACCCAGACAGAAGGAGAGAUAGUGCCAGAUGAAGCCCGAUGACGACAUUUCCAGGCAAUUUGUUCACGCUGCUGGGUUUCUGGCUGGACAUUCACCACACAUCAGGAGCUCAGGCAACAGAGUUGAGUGCAGGGGAAAGACAAAUGGUCAUGCAGACUGGCUGUGUGCUGCAAGGCAUGAAGACAGGACAUGGCAAGUGGAAAAUGAGAUGGGCCAUCUGAGAAGUCUGAUUAGCAUCCUGCUCUUGGACCAAUGUCCUGUUGGGAAGAAUGGAUCCAAACACUUCAACAGCAGGGACAGAGCAGACACAAGCCAGCACAGUAAGAGCAGGCAACUGAGCCCUGCAAUAACCUGAAGAAGAACAGUUUUGGUGCAAGUGAUGCCCAGAUGUGUCGUUCUUCAAGGGAACUGUGUGAUGCAAGGGCUGUUGCUUGUGCAAUAUCUGGGUGGGCUCUACUUAAAAAUGAUGAUGUAGGACUCCAUCAGACUAUAAUCAUAAUCUGAAGGAUUUGUCAUCAUCCUGGAGCUGAUCAAACAGUGGGCAGAAAAGUUUGGGUUCUUUCCUCCAGAAGUACCAUUUUCUGUUGAAAAUGUGUGUUUGUGUGUGUGUUUGGGUGGGAGCCCUUAAACCAGGGUUCAAGAAUUCUCCUGCUUUCACUAGAAACCUCCAGCACUUUUAUCCUCAACAUUUUCCAGAAGUAAAAACCCACAAAGGUUGACAACAACAACAUCUAAUGAGACCCCCCCGGCUGUCUUUCUUCCCUCUUUCACAUUAAGAAUGGGAAAAUAUUGAAAGGUGCUUUCAGGACAGCUGUCCCAUACACAAGGAAUAUAGGACUUAGACAGAGAAAAGACUUGUAAUAUUAUCCCCUGCCUACAUCUGCCUCUCUGGGAAGCACAGAGGUGUCUGUCCAGCUUUCUGUGUCAGAUAACACCAGCUCUAAGGUAGUCAGUCAGAUGCUGGGAUUGGACACUGAAGAGUAAAUAAGCGCUGCAUGAGCUAAUUGCAGUGUGGAGGAGAAGGGAAGGGAAGAUCCUGGCUUCCAGCUGU